CAGGCAAUAAAACUGAAGGCUAGCAGCACCCUGUGAGUAGCUGUCUAAUAUGCUGGGGCCAUGGUGAUGAGGCCGACCUUGAAAACCAGGUUGAGUAGUUCAAGGGGAGGUAGGAAACCAAGGGUAACAGUCUACUGGGUAAGUCUGGGGGGUGUCUCAUGAAUGGAGUCCUCAGGCUUCUGGUGUUCAUAGACUAGUCAGCUUCCAGAGUGACUGGAGCAGGACUUGGAUUAGAGGCAGGUUCAGAGGGGGCAGUCUGGGUCUAAAAGCAACACCCAAAUGUCAGGUCCUCCAGCCCGCUUGAGUCUGCUGUGAUGGAUCCAAGGGAGCGAUAACUGUAACUUUAACAGUGAUGCGUGACACCAGAACCACUGGGUAGGGUUCCUUCCAUAUAGCUUGGAGAUACUCUUUUUUCCAAUCCUUUACCCAUAUGUGAUCCCCUGGUUGGUAUGUAUGAACUGGAGUGUCUGAAGGAAUGGGUAUUUUCUCUAAAAUUGUGUGAUUUAUUUUAGUGAGAACCUGACCUAGUUGGGGUAUUUUUUUUUUUUUGGUACCAGGGAUCGAACUUGGGACCUUGCACUUGUGAGGCAGGUACCAGAACCAUUGAGCUAAAUCCCUGGCCCUGACCUAUUUGUUUGAGCUCUUGGGACUAAACUAGAUUCUUCAAGUUGUCUUAUAUCUCCCAUAAAGUUUCUAAUUAUAGGAGGUGGUCUUCCAUAGAGGAUUUUAUAAGGGGAGAAACCGGAGGGUACCGGCAUGCAUUGGACCCUUAACAAUGCCGGGGCAGGAGGUCAGUCCAGGGAACUCCUGUUUUUUGGCAAAACUUGGACAGGGUGGACUUUAGAAUUCUGUUUAUCAGUUCCACUUUCCCAGAGCUCUGGGGUCGGUAGGCAGCGUGCAAGUUCCACUUGAUUUUGAGCAGGCCAGCAAGUUGUUGGAUAACAUCAUCUACGAAAGCUGGACCUUUGUCACUCCCAAUGGAUGCUGGGAGUCUGUAUCUGGGAAUUAUUUUUUUGAGGAGGGCCCUUGGCACUUCAGAAGCCCUUUCAGUUUGGAUAGGAAGGGCCUCUACCCAUUAAGAGUAUGUGGAAACAAUGACCAAUAGGUAUUUAUGGCCUCGACUGGAUUUUAUCUCAGUGAAGUCUGCCUCUAAAUCUUCCAGUGGACAGGAGCCAGUGUACUGAGUUUCAGCUGGUGGUUGUGGCCAUUGGAGUGGGUUGUUUUGGCACAGGUUUGGCUGUGCUGGCUGACCAUGGCACAGAUGCUAGACACUUGUGGGAUGUAGUAGAAUCUGCUCAGGAAGGUCUCCACAGCUGUCUUUCUGGAGUGGGUGACCUGAUAAUGUGCCUGAACAAAAGUGUAAGUGAUUUUUUUUGGGGGGGAUUAUCACCUUUUUAUCCUGAAGGAGCCACCACCCGCUGGGCCCUUUGGAAUCUUCCUCCCUUUGGGUACAUUUAUCUUCUUUUUUGGAGUAGCAGGGUCCUUUUUUAAAGUCAGGCAGGAUUACUUACUAUUGGAAGCCACAGAGUGAGAACAAGUUCCAGGUUCUAAUGCAGGUUGGUUGGAGCCAUUGGUGUGGCAGCCAUCUGGGCAGUUAUCAGCAAAAUGGUUUUUUUAGGCCAAUAGUGUCUUUGACCUUCUGAUGUCCUUUAAAGUGCAUGAUGGCUAUUUUCUUGGGAGCCCAGAUGGCCUCCAGUAGUUUGAUUAGUUCUUCUCUAUUUUUAAUGUUUGCCUUCAGAAUUCAGGAGUCCCCUCUCCUUAUAUAUGGCUCUGUGGACAUGGGUGGUGGCAGAGGCAUACACUUAGAAUCAGUGUAGAUGUUGACCACCUUAUCUUUGGCUCACAGUAAGGCUUGGAUCAGUGCCCACAGUUCUGCUCUUUGUGCUGACCAUCCUGGGGGUAGAGGUUUUGCCUAGAUGAUUUGGUCCACCAUGGUUACGGUGUAGCCAGCCUACUGGAUCCCCUCAGAGACGUAGCUAUUCCCAUCCAUAAACAGAGUAUAGUCUAGUCUAGAGAGGGGCUCAUAGCAUAGGUCCGGUUGGCUUGCAAACAGUUCAUCUGUGACCUCUUCACAGUCAUGAUCUGGGGCCCCUUUCUCAGAUGGGAGAAAAGUAGCUAGGUUUAGUGUCUGUACUGUCUCCAGAUGGAUUCUGGGGUUUUCACAGAGGAGGCCCUGAUACUGGCCAUCCUGGCAUGGGAUAGCCAUCUGUGUCCUUUGUUGUCUAGCAGGCUGAUGACUGAGUUAGGCACCUUUACAUUUACAUUCUGGCCUAAUGUUAGCGUGUCUGCUUCUUGGAUCAAGCAGAUGGUGGCUGCUAAGGCCCUUAAGCAUGGGGGCCAUCCUUUGGCUACAGAGUCCAUCCUUUGGCUCCCAGUCUCCUGGGAGAGUCGGCCUCUCCCAGGGUCCAGUGGUCUGGGUCAGCACCCCCAGGGCAAUGUGGUCUUUCUCAUGUUCAAACAGGUUAAAUUCUCCAGUCACAUUGGGCAACCCCAGAGCUGGGGUGCUGACAAGCAGGGCUUUGUCUUGAAAGCUUCUUGCUGUUCUAGUCCUCAAAUAAGUGACUCUUUUUCAGAGCCCUUCAGUACUGCGUAGAGGACUUUGGCCUUUUGUGCAAAUCCUGGAAUCCAGAUUCUGCAGAAGCCUCCUGCCCCCAAGAAUUCUCAACGGAGCAUAUUACCUUUUUCCACUCUGGUCCUAGAGUUCGGUGUCCCUUGGUGAUGUCAAAGUCCUUUGGUGGUGUCAAAGUACUGCACCUGCAGUCUUCUUUGGAGUUGUUGGCCAGGAGGAGGUCAUCAACAUAUUGCAGGAGGGUACACUUGAGAUCAGCCCAAGGGGAGACUGUAAGGUCUGAGGCCAGGGCUUCUCCGAAGAGGGUGGGUGAGUUUUUGAAGCCCUGAGGCAGUCUAGUCCAUGUCAGCUGAGUUUUUCUUCUAUCACUGGGAUCUUCCCAUUCAAAACCAAAGAUUGACUGGCUCACAGGGGCUAGCUGGAAAUAGAAGAAGGCAUCUUUAAGAUCCGGGCAAGCCGGGCAUGGUAGAGGCAGAGGCAAGAGGAUCACCUCGAGUUCGAGGCCAGCCUGGGCUACAUAGUGAGUUCAGAGCCAGCGUGGACUACAAAGCAAGACCCUGUCUCAAAAAAAAGAUCAAGGCAAGUAUACCAUGUAGCAUCCGGUGGGAGAUGGCUGAGUAACCUGUAAGGGUUGGAGACCACAGGAUGUAGUGUAGGGCCAGGGAUUUAGCUCAGUGGUGCUGUGCCGGCCUCACAAGCACAAGGUCCUGAGUUCAAUCCUCCAUACUGCAAAAAACCCACAUAAAACCAGGAUGUAGAGUAACAACUGCAUUGUUGACGGCCCUCAGUCCUGGACUGGCUGAUCUUCUCUAUUUGGCUUUUUCACCAGUAUGAGCAGGGUGUUCCACAGGGACUGGCAUUCAAUGGGUAUGCCAGCCUCACAGAGUUUCUGUAAAUGUCCUCUUAUGCCCACUCUAACCUCCUGGGACAUCAAGUAUUGUGACCCUGACAGGGGAGGCCCUGGGCUUUAGUUUGACCAUGAUGAGGAGGGCAGUUGAUGGCCAGACCUGGGGGAGAGUUUUCUCCCCAAACGUUGGGAAUCUCAGUCAGGAAACAGUCUGGAUUGGUUUCAGAGGAGACUUUCUGAUAGAACUACCAUUUUUCUUCUCAUGGGACAGUCACGGCCAUUAUCAGGCUAGUAGGGCUGGGAAGAGUAAGCUGAGCUGGUUGUUUAGAGGAGAAAGUUAUGGUUUCCCCCGAACUUUGUUAACAGGUCUUGCCCAAGCAACAGGACUGGACACUCAGGGAGAUAGAAGAAUUUGUGUGUAAUUUAGUGUCCUCUUAGUUGACAGGUUCUGGCUUGGCAAAAAGCUUUUACAAUUUGAUUCCCGGUAGCCCAAACAAUAGCUGUUUUUCUCUGGGUUGGGGGUGGCUACUGGAGUUGUCACAACAGAAUGUUCAGUGCCUGUGUCAAUCAAGAGUCAUUGGUUGGUCUUCUACUGUCAUUUGGAUCAUGGGUUCUCAGGGGCUGAGUUGGAAAGAGCCCAGUCUGUCCUAGUCUGUGUCCAUCCCUGCCAGACCAGUAAGGGCAGGGUCAGUGUGUGAUUCCAUGUGGGGCUUUGACUUUGGUCUUUUCCCAGGAGCUUGCCUCGGGUUUGGGCAUUCAUUUUUCCAGUGGCUGAAUUCCUUGCAGUAUACACAUUGGUCCUUAGUCUUUUAUAGAAGUCUCCUGGUGAUUUUUCUGGCUUUUGGAGGUUAGUGGUAGUCUUGGUCAUGUUUGUGGGCUUUUUGGCCCCCUCUCAGAGUCCAUGGAGUAGGGUCUUACGGUAUUGGUCCACCUGGCCUCAGCCCUCAGGUGUGGAAUAGUCCCAGUUGGUUUGGCCAUCAGGGACUGCUGCAUGUACCCAGGCAGUGUAGUUGGCAGAGGCAUUAGGGGCUUCACCUUCAGCCCAGCAUUGGGUUCUCAGUAGGAUGCAGCACUGCUCUUCAGUGUUGAAGAGAGUGAUGAGCAGCUGAUGGUAAUCCUCCCAGGUGGGCUGGUGGGUCUGGAAGAUGGUCUACAAGGUCAAUGAUGGCUUGGGGCUUCUCUGAGUAAGCUGGGUUGUGAUUCUUCCAAUUCAGGAGAUCUGAGGUUGAGAAGGGCUGGUAGCAGUAAAAGGGGCAUCCUGGCUGGAGACUUCCAUCUGGUUGAAUCUGAGGUGCACUUCGGGUCUCUCUGAGGGGCAGCUGCAUGGAAGGGCCCUGAGCAGAGUGGAGAUGAUGAGCCAGAGGGGUUUGCAGUGGGUCAGAGGCUGGCUGGGUGGUGGGCCUAGGGGACAGGUGUUCGAGCAGAGAAGCCAGAGGAGAGACUGAGGGUGACAGGGUGUCAGGCAGCUGGGGUACUGACAGAGUAGAAGGAGCAGCGUCAGAGUAUCACAGAGGCACCAGGGUGGGCCUUCCUAUGGAUCUCUUGGAUAAAUGGGCUUUUGACAGCCCAGAGGAGGGAUCUGACACAUCAGACAGAUUUUGCUCUUUCUGUUGGUGACAACACAGAAGUGGACCUAUAGGGGAAGGGUCAAGGCAAUUUGCAACCAGGAAUCUAUGUAGGGAAGCUGAUCAGUGUGGCCAGAGGGUCGUCUGAUGAUGUUCCAGAGCUGGUGAACAGUUUUGACUUUCAAGGUCCCUUCUAGGGGCCAAUCGGGAUCAAGUUUAGGCCAGUCUGUUUCACAGAAGGUUCUCGGCAGACGGUUUCAUCUUGAUCCCAUAGUCUCCAUCAAAGCCCUUUUAAAAAUUCCUCAACAGGGGUGGGGAUUUAGCUCAGUGGCACCACACUUGCCUUGAAAGUGCAAGGUCAUGAGUUCAAUCCCCGAUACGGCAAAAAAGAAAAAAAAAAUUCCUCAACAUACACUCCAGGACCAUAGGUUUUGA
rnacentral:lncRNA from 1 species